rnacentral:rRNA from 1 species
AUUGAACGCUGGCGGCAGGCCUAACACAUGCAAGUCGAGCGGAUGAAGGGAACUUGCUCCUGGAUUCAGCGGCGGACGGGUGAGUAAUGCCUAGGAAUCUGCCUGGUAGUGGGGUAUAACGGCCGGAAACGGGCGCUAAUACCGCAUACGUCCUGAGGGAGAAAGUGGGGGAUCUUCGGACCUCACGCUAUCAGAUGAGCCUAGGUCGGAUUAGCUAGUUGGUGGGGUAAAGGCCUACCAAGGCGACGAUCCGUAACUGGUCUGAGAGGAUGAUCAGUCACACUGGAACUGAGACACGGUCCAGACUCCUACGGGAGGCAGCAGUGGGGAAUAUUGGACAAUGGGCGAAAGCCUGAUCCAGCCAUGCCGCGUGUGUGAAGAAGGUCUUCGGAUUGUAAAGCACUUUAAGUUGGGAGGAAGGGCAGUAAGUUAAUACCUUGCUGUUUUGACGUUACCAACAGAAUAAGCACCGGCUAACUUCGUG